GGGAAGGUGGCUCAGUGGUAGAGUGCUUGCCUUGCAUGCAUGAGGCCCUGGGUUCCAUUCCUUAGCAUCACA
rfam:Dipodomys ordii contig_7280, whole genome shotgun sequence.